rnacentral:lncRNA from 1 species
CGCGCCCUGGAGACGCGUGAACGCGCGAGCGUCCUCCGGCCGGCCCCUUCCUCGUCGUCCUCGUCGUCCUCGUCGUCCUCGCAAAUGCGGACUCAGAGCAAAGCAGCUCCCUUUGGCACGGGGAGGAGCGCCGCUAACUCGACCACGCUCGCUCCCGUGAGGCGGCUCGCUUGCCGGCGAUCUCCGACGGACGGCUCGCUAGGAGAAAUGAGAAAAUGGAACCGAGGGAGCUUGUGAAAGAGGAGAUCCUUGAGACAAAGCGCAGUGCCAGCCAGAAGCUCAGCCUCGGAUACCUGGCCGUCAGACAGAACAUGGGCAUGAAGACGAGAGCAGAGACAGACCCUACAUUGCACCAAGGCCACGUCAGCUAUGCAGGAGACAGUGGACCUGCAAAUGCAACAAGAAACAGGUACACACACACACACACACACACACACUCAGAGGAGAGACCCCUUCACCAGGGGCUCCUACCCAACGCACGGGGUCCGCUCCUCAGCCGGAGGGCACCCCAGUUUGACCCGCACGCAAGGGGAACCCUUGAAAACUUCAGGGCUAAGCCCCAUCUCACCCGCACGCACGGGGUCCCCUCCUCAGCCGGAGGGCACCCCAGUUCCACCCGCAUGCAAGGGGAACCCUUGAAAACUUCAGGGCAAAGCCCCAUCUCACCCGCACGCACGGGGUCCCCUCCUCAGCCGGAGGGCACCCCAGUUCCACCCACAUGCAAGGGGAACCCUUGAAAACUUCAGGGCUAAGCCCCAUCUCACCCGCACGCACGGGGUCCCCUCCUCAGCCGGAGGGCACCCCAGUUCCACCCACAUGCAAGGGGAACCCUUGAAAACUUCAGGGCUAAGCCCCAUCUCACCCGCACGCACGGGGUCCCCUCCUCAGCCGGAGGGCACCCCAGUUCCACCCACAUGCAAGGGGAACCCUUGAAAACUUCAGGGCUAAGCCCCAUCUCACCCGCACGCACGGGGUCCCCUCCUCAGCCGGAGGGCACCCCAGUUCCACCCACAUGCAAGGGGAACCCUUGAAAACUUCAGGGCUAAGCCCCAUCUCACCCGCACACACGGGGUCCCCUCCUCAGCCGGAGGGCACCCCAGUUCCACCCACAUGCAAGGGGAACCCUUGAAAACUUCAGGGCUAAGCCCCAUCUCACCCGCACGCACGGGGUCCCCUCCUCAGCCGGGCACGGGGUCCCUCCUCAGCCGGAGGGCACCCCAGUUUCCACCCGCAUGCAAGGGGAACCCUUGAAAAACUUCAGGGCUAAGCCCCAUCUCACCCGCACGCCACGGGGUCCCCUCCUCAGCCGGAGGGCACCCCACUCCCCACCUCCUUUCUUUUUUCCUCUGCAGGAAGCUCUUCUUUAACGUCCGUUGUUGCCUUCGUCCUCCCAGCGGCUUCUCCUGCAAGAAGAUGUGGAUGAAGAUCAAGUGAGCACCAGGCUGCCGCCAUAUGUGCAGGAACACCUGCAGAAUAAAAAGUCCUGUUCACC